CAGAAAAAUGGGGUCAAAUGUUAUACUGCCAGAGAAGCCAGCAGGGCAAUGUGAUUUCUCUUAGAGAUGUGGCUCUCUUGUCUCUUGAUUGUGGGAAUGGAAAACAAGACCAUGAUUCCAGGGGAUGACUCCAGGGGCUGCAUGUGUGGAGGGCAAGAGAUGGCCCAGCAUAGUCUAUAUUUCAUCAUGUAAGAUAUGUUUCUGAUGGGAGAUUUAAACAUCAGGCUUCAGUAAAAAUGGAACCAGGAAGCUUUGAGCAUCUAUACCCACUGCUCACACAGGGAAUGUUUGGGACUGCAGCCAUCGGUGCUAAGGAAUAAAGAAGAAGGAGAAUAAAAGAUGCCUAGUUCCUUAGAGCAAGCCUUGGAUUACUUACCUCUUGGAUUCUUAUUGCUUUAGAAACAGACAAGGAUUUAAGAGGAUGUGGUUUAUGUGGGAUCCCGAAUAACACUGCUGAGUGGGGAAGAGAAGCAAGGGAGAGGAAGCACCAAGACAACGUGAAUCAUUAAACCAGUCACCACUCUGAACAACCGAGACUUGAUCCACGCUGGGAACUCGGAAUCCAGCAGAGAACAGACCCCAGAGCUAACUCUCUGCAGAUGAAGGGAAUGGAAUAUUGCUCCACUAGUCCCCACCAAUCAUUUUUUUGAAACUAACAUCACCGGUUUUCACUUGCAUCCUUUUUCUGUUCCAGCAUUCAAUUUAAGACCCCAUAUCGCAUUUAGUCAUCAUGUCUCCUUAACCUCUUCUUACCUGUGACAGUUCCUUAGUCUUUCCUUGCUUUUCAUAACCUUGAAAUAUUUGAAG
ensembl:lncRNA